rnacentral:tRNA from 1 species
GCCGAGAUGGCGGAAUUGGUAUACGCUACGGACUUAAAAUCCGUUGGAGCCUAGCUCCGUGUGGGUUCGAGUCCCACUCUCGGCA